AGGCCCGCCCCGGUCACAUCCUGCCGUUGUCCCCACACCUCGGGCUUCCUCCGCCGACCCACCCCCAUCACCUGCACCCUUGGAGCCGCCGUCUGUUCAGAGAUUCCGCGAGGCGGUCGGUCCGGCCGGCGGUGGCGGCAAUGCCGCCCAGAAAUCAUCCGCUGCUUCUUGGCGUUGCCAUGGGGAACGAGAGCACCGCUCCUACGGCGGCCGCCGGGACCCAAACCUCCUCCGCCCGCGUCUCUUCGCCUUUUUCUUUCUUCUUUGGCCGCUAGUUCUUAGCGGCGAUUCGCGGGGCUUUCCCCUCGUUACUGACUGGAAAGACGAGUUCCCGCCACCACCGGCCUAGCUCGGAUCCUCAGCAUAUGAUGGACGUCGGAGGAGACAUCCAGGGUCCUAGGGCGCUACGAAGGGAGGACUGAACCCCCAGAAUACACCAUCAACUUGCCGAUGUGAUUUCAGCCAAGUCAGUGAGCCUUACUGAGUUGUUUUCACGUCUGCCUCACGGAGGUCCUGCCAACAGAGAGAUGCCAACCUUGGCAAGACUUCUGGAUGCAUCUGUGGCCUGCAGUGGUCAGACUCAUGGUUGAUGGUGUACUAUUCCUACCAUGGGUUCAUGCAUUAUGCAGGAAGGUGGACAGUACGCCAGGCCUGCUUGUUUCAAGGCCUCUCCUGUGGACAUCAGACCAUAUUGCCUCCCAGAGAUUAAGAGAAGACUCACCAGCCUCCUUAUUAUGAAAACGAAAGGCCUAUGCUUAGCCUUCGAUGAUAUCACACCCGUACAGCUCUGAAGGGCUGACUGAGGAGAUGCACACGCAGGUAGAGAGGAUGAGCAAAACAGCAUCGGGAUGGAGGAGCCUGAAGGAGCAGGGAACGACCAGCCCAUGCAGCAUCAGACUGCUUUGCUCUAAAGACAAAGAAACUGAUGAUGAAAGGACCGUAGGAGAGACUCCAGAUUUCAAUGAAACUUGGGCGUGACCUUUCCCAGCUCAUGGCCUAGGAGCUUUAUUCCCUUCUUCAUUCUAUAUCCAAGGACAAGGCAUGACCCUGCUUUUUGUACUAGGCUGUAUCUUCUUCCCAUUGUGCUUUGCUGUCCUCUGCUGGGGCCUGCAGAACCACGCCAGACUGCAAAUGGAGAGACAAGAGGCUGUUUUGGUGGCAUCCAAGUAAGAAGACCAGGGUGAGGGUAUCCUUCCUGGGGCCACGGCUGGUGGAACGGGUGUCUUACUUUCAGGGGGCAAAUGGCAUCAGCACUGGGAAAGUUGGUGGUGAAAACAGAAGAGUUUGUGUUAGGGGCAGAAUUAAGAGUCAAAGAUGGUGGUGAAAAUACAACAACACACGAACUCAACAAUUCUACAUGUAUAAUUCAGUGACAUUGAUUACAUUCAACAACUUCCACUGCUUCAAGAUGUGCAACCAUUCUUGCCAUCCUUUUCCAAAUUAUUUCACCACUGUUAACAUAAACUCAAUGCCACCUAAGCAAAAGCUCCCCUUUCCCCUCUCCCUCCCACCCCUUGUCACCAGUAAUAAUUUUUGGUUUCUGUAUAUUUGCUUAUUUUAUAUAAGUGAGAUCAUACAGUAUUUGU